CUGAAAUUUUGAGAUGAAUCAGACUACCCGUUGAUAGGUUGCUGCCCCUGAAAUGGUAAUUUUAAGGAAAUUUUACUGUUUUUGGUUAUUAUCUUGAAUAUUAUCAUAGAUAGAGAUAAAUUGUAAACAGCAAAAAUGUUCAGUAAAGUAAGAUCUACAAAUAAGUCAACAGGACCAAAAUGGUCUGUUGACCGCUUUAGGAGUUAUUGCUCUUUAUAGUCAAUUUUUAACCAUUUUUCGUAAAUCUUAGUCAUCUUUUACAAAAAUCUUCUCCUCUGAAACUACUGGGCCAAAUUAAACCAAACUUGACCACAAUCGUCA
rnacentral:lncRNA from 1 species